rnacentral:tRNA from 1 species
AGCUCAGUUGGUAGAGUGUUUGCCUUGCAUGCACAAGGCCCUGGGCUCAAUCCCCAG